UAGUCGGUCCUAAUUCAGAGAAUGA
rnacentral:piRNA from 1 species